rnacentral:lncRNA from 1 species
GGCGGCUAGCCGAGGGAACCCGUUUCUCUGCCCGGCGCUGCAAAGACAGAAGUCGGCGAUGUCAGGAGGGAGCUCUUGCGGUCUUGCCCAACCGUUACUCAUAGGCAAGAGACCUUGGAAUCAGUUGUGGUAUAUCAGAAGAAGAAGGGGCAAAAUCCUUAUUAUAUGACCUUGAAACUUCAAUAUGUUCCUACAACCUGAGAAAUACAAUAAAAUGUAAUCCAGGAAUCCUGCAUUCAUUGUCAUUAUUGAAUGAAAUGAAGAAAAUAUGGGGGAAGUGGUAUGAGAUUUUUUUUAACAUUCUAGUAUAAUAUUUCAAGAAUUUUACUUAUGAAAUUAUUCAUAGCCAGAUGUAUAAAACACACACACACACACACACACACACACACACACAUAUAAUAUAAAUCAAUUUGACAAUCACUUAAUAUCUAUAAUCAUAUGCUGGUUUUUAUAAUGAAAUAAAUUAUUUAGAAGCUAGAGGUUAAGGAAUAGUUUUUAUGUUGGAAAGCAUAAGCUCUCAUCAAGGUGCAAGGGGGAGCACUCUAAUAUUAUUUCUAAACCAGACUCUGAAUUCUUCAUGCUUUGCAAAUAAUUAAAAGCCAUAGACAGAGGGGAUCUAUUUCUAUUGAAUGGUACCUCUUUGGAAAGCCAAGCAUUCCAUCAC